rnacentral:piRNA from 1 species
UAAAUGGUGACACCUCACAGCUGUCCUGCCC